CAGUGAGUGGCGAACUGGUGAGUAACACGUGGGAAACCUGCCCAGAAGCGGGGGAUAACACCUGGAAACAGAUGCUAAUACCGCAUAACAACUUGGACCGCAUGGUCCGAGUUUGAAAGAUGGCUUCGGCUAUCACUUUUGGAUGGUCCCGCGGCGUAUUAGCUAGAUGGUGGGGUAACGGCUCACCAUGGCAAUGAUACGUAGCCGACCUGAGAGGGUAAUCGGCCACAUUGGGACUGAGACACGGCCCAAACUCCUACGGGAGGCAGCAGUAGGGAAUCUUCCACAAUGGACGAAAGUCUGAUGGAGCAACGCCGCGUGAGUGAAGAAGGGUUUCGGCUCGUAAAACUCUGUUGUUAAAGAAGAACAUAUCUGAGAGUAACUGUUCAGGUAUUGACGGUAUUUAACCAGAAAGCCACGGCUAACUACGUGCCAGCAGCCGCGGUAAUACGUAGGUGGCAAGCGUUGUCCGGAUUUAUUGGGCGUAAAGCGAGCGCAGGCGGUUUUUUAAGUCUGAUGUGAAAGCCUUCGGCUCAACCGAAGAAGUGCAUCGGAAACUGGGAAACUUGAGUGCAGAAGAGGACAGUGGAACUCCAUGUGUAGCGGUGAAAUGCGUAGAUAUAUGGAAGAACACCAGUGGCGAAGGCGGCUGUCUGGUCUGUAACUGACGCUGAGGCUCGAAAGUAUGGGUAGCAAACAGGAUUAGAUACCCUGGUAGUCCAUACCGUAAACGAUGAAUGCUAAGUGUUGGAGGGUUUCCGCCCUUCAGUGCUGCAGCUAACGCAUUAAGCAUUCCGCCUGGGGAGUACGGCCGCAAGGCUGAAACUCAAAGGAAUUGACGGGGGCCCGCACAAGCGGUGGAGCAUGUGGUUUAAUUCGAAGCUACGC
rnacentral:rRNA from 2 species